rnacentral:rRNA from 1 species
GAUGAACGCUGGCGGCGUGCCUAAUACAUGCAAGUCGAGCGAACAGACGAGGAGCUUGCUCCUCUGACGUUAGCGGCGGACGGGUGAGUAACACGUGGAUAACCUACCUAUAAGACUUGGAUAACUUCGGGAAACCGGAGCUAAUACCGGAUAAUAUAUUGAACCGCAUGGUUCAAUAGUUAAAGACGGUUUUGCUGUCACUUAUAGAUGGAUCCGCGCCGCAUUAGCUAGUUGGUAAGGUAACGGCUUACCAAGGCAACGAUGCGUAGCCGACCUGAGAGGGGGAUCGGCCACACAGGAAGUGAGACACGGUCCAGACACCUACGGGAGGCAGCAGUAGGGAAUCUUCCGCAAUGGGCGAAAGCAUGACGGAGCAACGCCGCGUGAGUGAUGAAGGUCUUCGGAUCGUAAAACUCUGUUAUUAGGGAAGAACAAAUGUGUAAGUAACUAUGCACGUCUUGACGGUACCUAAUCAGAAAGCCACGGCUAACUACGUG